AGAUGAGAGGGCCAAUAAGAUGCCCUGGACAGAAGGAGUGGUCAGGGGUGGCUCAGCCUCUGGUGUGGAUGAUGGCUUACAGUGUGACUGUGAGCUAAGAUGUAGCAUUCAAGUGGAGGAAUGUGCUGGUGAGAGAAAGACAAGUUUGGUUUGGGACAAAUGAGUGUGAGGUGAGGAAACAUCAGUCCAGUGAGAGUGGCAUGUGUGGGGAGGAGCCCAGGCUUGCUCUGACCUCUCUCUGGGGCCCCCCACUCCAGAAGGUUGGAACAGCAUUCUACAGCAUUCCAGGAUGUGGAGGGGGCAGCAGUGUUUGUGUGCAGAGUGGCGAGGCCGACCUCCGAUGAGCUUCCCGUAGGAAGGGUGCAGUGGGGGGUGCUCACCCUGCCCAGGGAUGCUAUCUGCUCCAGGACUUGUUUAUCAGCCCACGGGGUGAUCGGCAUGACAUCAAUGGAUAUGCCAGGCUGCAGGCUACAGUGCCGAGAAGGAGAAGACGGAGGCGGUGGUGAUGUCACCCAAGGAAUUAAGUAAGCAGGGGAGCUGAUAACAUCGUCCAGCCAGGCUCACUGUGGGCAGGGUGACUCACUGAAGACGGCCUGCGAUCGCCAGGUGAUUGUUGUUGUGCCCAGCCUGUGGGGCUGGGGAGGAGGAAGGGGGGCAGGCCACAGAGCUGUGACAAGUUCCUCACCGAGGCCCCUGCUCAGGGGAGAGACCUCAGUACACAGUGUCCUCCACCUCUGAGCCCGGGGCUGGCUCAGGAAACAGCCCCCCUCUGCCUGUGCGAUUAUCUUUGUCCACAGUGUUUGGUGUGUGUUUGUGGGGUGUGUCAGGUGAUUUUCCUGCCCGAAGCCUGCUGGGUGCUCCAGGUACUAGCGAUUGCUCACAGCAGAGCAGUAGCCCCCUCCCUGGUUGGACAACUGUCUGUGGAGACAACACCGGAUGGCAAACUGCUAACCGCAACCACGUGGCGUCCUUACAGAGGGAACAGCCUGUUCCUCCCGCUGAGGGCACCUGCAGACCUGCCCCAUUCAUGGCUCCCUUCUCCCUCAGUCCCUGCUGAGGGGAUGGUCCCUUCCCACCCUUAAGGGCACCAUGGACUGUUGUCCAAGUUGAGAACUGUCCAACUGCAGGGGGCACCAUUCACUUGGCAGUCUUCGUGCCAGAUGCUAUGGCUGUCCACAGUGGCCCUGCCCCUUCCCUUUUGUAAAUUACUUCUCAGUUCCCUCCUCCACCAGAAUUAUCACACCAAACUUUCCCCCAUGUAUGCUUGCUUCUUUAUCACCUGACACUCUCAUUCAUUCAUUCCACAAAAAAAUUGUGGCGUUUGUGCAAGGUACUAUUCUAGGCAAGGGAACAAGACAGACCCUCCUGGAGCUCAUGGAGUUCAUAUUCUAGCAUGGGGGAGAACCAAUAAAUAAAUAAUUGGAUACAUAAAACUGCAAGUGACAAUAAGUGCUACAAAGAAAACUAAAGCCAGCCCAGGAUAGAGGGUGAUAGUGCCCUACUUCAGCUAGGACUGCCAGAAAGGCUUCUCUGUGGGGAGGUGGCCUCUGAGGGGAGACCUGGAGGCAGCAAAGGAGGAAGCCUUCCCGGCAGAGCCCCUCCCAUUGGCACCCAAUGCCAAAAGAAGUUUCUAUAACCCGUCCUGGUUCUGCCAGGAGCCUGCGGCAUGGCCUGGGGCGCUCAAUUCCCAGUGCAGGGUGUCUAUUUCUUCCCCCAACAAACAAGAGGCCUAGUCGCAUAGUCUCUUCCAGCACAAAUUCACCCACCUGUCGGCUUGAGGAACAUGACAGGAAUCUGGGUUGGAAGGCCAACUCAGCCACCCACAAGCUGUGUCAUCUUGAGCAGGUUACUCAGCCUCUCUGAGCCAGUUUUCUUUCCUAUAAAAUGUCAGGGAAUUGUGGAGGAUUAAAUGAGGUUGUGGAACUGAAACCACCUGGCACAGGUGCUAUCUAUGAAGUGAGUGCUUCAUAGAUAUUUUCUGGGGCUGCGCCUAGGUGAGGUGGGGCG
rnacentral:lncRNA from 10 species